CAGUAGCCACGGUAACACGUAGGGUGCGAGCGUUAAUCGGAGUUACUGGGCGUAAAGCGUGCGCAGGCGGUUUUGUAAGACAGGCGUGAAAUCCCCGGGCUCAACCUGGGAAUGGCGCUAGUGACUGCAAAGCUAGAGUGCGGCAGAGGGGGAUGGAAUUCCGCGUGUAGCAGUGAAAUGCGUAGAUAUGCGGAGGAACACCGAUGGCGAAAGCACUCUGCUGGGCCGACACUGACACUGAGAGACGAAAGCUAGGGGAGCAAAUGGGAUUAGAUACCCGUGUAGUCCCUGUCUCUUAUAC
rnacentral:rRNA from 1 species